UUUCCAUGAAUACCUUUCAAGUUAGUCGUUGAUUUUAGUCCUCUGCUUCAGAUGUCGCCACAACAUGCCAUGGCCUCUUCCCCGAUUGGAAAUGUUGAUUGAGAAAAUGUUUCUAUGAAGCUCCUCUGGAUUGUAGUGCUCCACCUCCUGAGUCCACCAAAAGAAAAGCAUUGGCCUUUAAGUCAUGGGUAGUAUUGUGCUCAGUCCACUUCUGUUCACUGCACUAGUCCUCAAAUUUGCUCCUGUAAUGUCCCACCGCAGUCCUAAUUGACGUCUAAGGUGUCUAGACUGUAUUCAGUUUUUCUUUGUACCCUUACACAUAAGUGGUGAGUUACAGACUCAAAUAGGGUUGCAUGCAUUUUACUGUGGUUUUUGUCAAAUGUUAGUUGCUGGGCUUAAUCCACCUCUUAAUCUUUUUCUUUAGACUGAACUGACCGUCGGAAGCUUCAGUGGAUCUCCUCACAGCUGAAAUAUCCGGCUAUAGAUGGCACUGCCUGAUGCAGAUCCAGUUAUCUGGUCCAACGUGCAGCAGCGACGGUUAAGCUGCAAGCGGUGGCUGCAUGGGUGGAGCCUGCCAGGAUCCUGCCAACUGAAUGUUUGGGGCCAUUAAGGCUAGCUUGCCUAAACAUUUUUUUAAAUGUAAUGGCCUCUGUUCAAAGGUCAUUGAGAUGAGAACAGGGCUUGUCUUAAUGUAGAAAAGAGUCCUAAGCAAAGUGGUACAAUUUCUUUUGAUUUGUUUAAAUAAUCUCCAUCCUGCUUAUUUUUGUAUUGCAAAUUCAAAAAUAAAGUCACGGCAAUCAAA